rnacentral:lncRNA from 1 species
CCAUUUUUUGUUAACCUAACUUUAGGGGUAUAGUCUACUACUUGAAAUUUAGAUAUGCGACUUUCUAAUCUAUUUAGUUGUUGCCCAAUAAUGUGAAGGUUUAAGUUUGUGUAAUUUUGUUAUUCCGACAUCUUUAUUAUUGAUUUUUCUUUUUCCUCUCCGGGUGAAAAAAGGAGGACAGUCAACUUUUCUCUCUAAAGAACUAAUAGAAGCAUGAAGAGC